rnacentral:rRNA from 1 species
CGAACGCUGGCGGCGUGCUUAACACAUGCAAGUCGAGCGAUGAAGUUUCUUCGGAAAUGGAUUAGCGGCGAACGGGUGAGGAACACGUGAAGAAUCUGCCCUCCACUUUGGGAUAACACCGGGAAACCGGUGCUAAUACUGAAUAUUGAAACAUAAGUGGCAUCACUGAGUUUUGAAAGAAUUUCGGUGGAGGAUGACUUCGCGGCCUAUCAGCUAGUUGGUGAGGUAAUGGCUCACCAAGGCAACGACGGGUAGCCGGCCUGAGAGGGCGACCGGCCACACUGGGACUGAGACACGGCCCAGACUCCUACGGGAGGCAGCAGUGGGGAAUAUUGGACAAUGGGGGCAACCCUGAUCCAGCCAUGCCGCGUGAGUGAUGAAGGUCUUCGGAUUGUAAAGCUCUUUUGGCGGGGACGAUAAUGACGGUACCCGCAGAAUAAGCCCCGGCUAACUUCGUGCCAGCAA